rnacentral:rRNA from 1 species
UACGUAGGGGGCAAGCGUUGUCCGGAAUCAUUGGGCGUAAAGCGCGUGUAGGCGGUUCGGUAAGUCGGCUGUGAAAGUCCAGGGCUCAACCCUGGGAUGCCGGUCGAUACUGCCGGACUAGAGUUCGGAAGAGGUGAGUGGAAUUCCCGGUGUAGCGGUGAAAUGCGCAGAUAUCGGGAGGAACACCAAUGGCGAAGGCAGCUCGCUGGGACGUUUACGUGACGCUGAGACGCGAAAGCGUGGAGAGCAAACGAGG